rnacentral:rRNA from 1 species
AGUGAACGCUGGCGGUAGGCCUAUCACAUGCAAGUCGAACGGCAGCACAGGAGAGCUUGCUCUCUAGGUGGCGAGUGGCGGACGGGUGAGGAAUACAUCGGAAUCUGCCCAGUCGUGGGGGAUAACGUAGGGAAACUUACGCUAAUACCGCAUACGACCUUCGGGUGAAAGAGGGGGAUCGCAAGACCUCUCGCGAUUGGAUGAGCCGAUGUCGGAUUAGCUAGUUAGCGGGGUAAUGGCCCACCAAGGCGACGAUCCGUAGCUGGUCUGAGAGGAUGAUCAGCCACACUGGAACUGAGACACGGUCCAGACUCCUACGGGAGGCAGCAGUGGGGAAUAUUGGACAAUGGGCGCAAGCCUGAUCCAGCCAUACCGCGUGGGUGAAGAAGGCCUUCGGGUUGUAAAGCCCUUUUGUUGGGAAAGAAAUCUUUCAGGCUAAUACCCUGGGAGGAUGACGGUACCCAAAGAAUAAGCACCGGCUAACUUCGUG